GUGUUCCUCUAGCGCAGUUGGUAGCGCAUUGCAUUAGCAAUGCAAAAGGCCUUGGGUUCGAUUCCCAGGGAACAUA